rnacentral:rRNA from 1 species
UACGGGGGGGGCAAGCGUUGUUCGGAAUUACUGGGCGUAAAGGGCUCGUAGGCGGACAACUAAGUCAGACGUGAAAUCCCUCGGCUUAACCGGGGAACUGCGUCUGAUACUGGAUGGCUCGAGUUUGGGAGAGGGAUGCGGAAUUCCAGGUGUAGCGGUGAAAUGCGUAGAUAUCUGGAGGAACACCGGUGGCGAAGGCGGCAUCCUGGACCAACACUGACGCUGAUGAGCGAAAGCCAGGGGAGCAAACGGG